UGAACGGCCACAUUGGGACUGAGAUACGGCCCAGACUCCUACGGGAGGCAGCAGUGGGGAAUAUUGCACAAUGGGCGCAAGCCUGAUGCAGCGACGCCGCGUGCGGGAUGGAGGCCUUCGGGUUGUAAACCGCUUUUGUUCAAGGGCAAGGCACGGUUUCGGCCGUGUUGAGUGGAUUGUUCGAAUAAGCACCGGCUAACUACGUGCCAGCAGCCGCGGUAAUACGUAGGGUGCGAGCGUUAUCCGGAUUUAUUGGGCGUAAAGGGCUCGUAGGCGGUUCGUCGCGUCCGGUGUGAAAGUCCAUCGCCUAACGGUGGAUCUGCGCCGGGUACGGGCGGGCUGGAGUGCGGUAGGGGAGACUGGAAUUCCCGGUGUAACGGUGGAAUGUGUAGAUAUCGGGAAGAACACCAAUGGCGAAGGCAGGUCUCUGGGCCGUCACUGACGCUGAGGAGCGAAAGCGUGGGGAGCGAACAGGAUUAGAUACCCUGGUAGUCCACGCCGUAAACGGUGGAUGCUGGAUGUGGGGCCCUUUCCACGGGUCCCGUGUCGGAGCCAACGCGUUAAGCAUCCCGCCUGGGGAGUACGGCCGCAAGGCUAAAACUCAAAGAAAUUGACGGGGGCCCGCACAAGCGGCGGAGCAUGCGGAUUAAUUCGAUGCAACGCGAAGAACCUUACCUGGGCUUGACAUGUGCCGGAUCGCCGUGGAGACACGGUUUCCCUUCGGGGCCGGUUCACAGGUGGUGCAUGGUCGUCGUCAGCUCGUGUCGUGAGAUGUUGGGUUAAGUCCCGCAACGAGCGCAACCCUCGCCGCAUGUUGCCAGCGGGUGAUGCCGGGAACUCAUGUGGGACCGCCGGGGUCAACUCGGAGGAAGGUGGGGAUGACGUCAGAUCAUCAUGCCCCUUACGUCCAGGGCUUCACGCAUGCUACAAUGGCCGGUACAACGCGGUGCGACACGGUGACGUGGGGCGGAUCGCUGAAAACCGGUCUCAGUUCGGAUCGCAGUCUGCAACUCGACUGCGUGAAGGCGGAGUCGCUAGUAAUCGCGGAUCAGCAACGCCGCGGUGAAUGCGUUCCCGGGCCUUGUACACACCGCCCGUCAAGUCAUGAAAGUGGGUAGCACCCGAAGCCGGUGGCCCGACCCUUGUGGGGGGAGCCGUCUAAGGUGAGACUCGUGAUUGGGACUAAGUCGUAACAAGGUAGCCGUACCGGAAGGUGCGGCUG
rnacentral:rRNA from 1 species